ACCUGCGGAAGGAUCAUUACCGAGUUUUCGGGCUUCGGCUCGACUCUCCCACCCUUUGUGAACGUACCUCUGUUGCUUUGGCGGCUCCGGCCGCCAAAGGACCUCCAAACUCCAGUCAGUAAACGCAGACGUCUGAUAAACAAGUUAAUAAACUAAAACUUUCAACAACGGAUCUCUUGGUUCUGGCAUCGAUGAAGAACGCAGCGAAAUGCGAUAAGUAAUGUGAAUUGCAGAAUUCAGUGAAUCAUCGAAUCUUUGAACGCACAUUGCGCCCCUUGGUAUUCCGGGGGGCAUGCCUGUUCGAGCGUCAUUACAACCCUCAAGCUCUGCUUGGAAUUGGGCACCGUCCUCACUGCGGACGCGCCUCAAAGACCUCGGCGGUGGCUGUUCAGCCCUCAAGCGUAGUAGAAUACACCUCGCUUUGGAGCGGUUGGCGUCGCCCGCCGGACGAACCUUCUGAACUUUUCUCAAGGUUGACCUCGGAUCAGGUAGGGAUACCCGCUGAACUUAAGCAUAUCAAA
rnacentral:rRNA from 1 species